rnacentral:snoRNA from 1 species
UGCUGUGAUGAAUCUGCUCAGACUAGAGUCUCUGACCCUCACAGUGAUGCUCAUCUAAGCCCUGAGCA